GUCAAAGCGGGCCUGCCAGGCCAGGGGGCGCUGGGUGUGGCCUAAGAUCUUGGCUUGGAGGUUGAUCUCUGAGCGCCACUGCCACUUGGUGGCAGCACACACGCGGACAGCCGGGAAGCCGUGCCGAGGAGGCCCCUCCUCACCCCAGUCCCUACAGCCCCGAAUGUCCUCGACAGGCUCGCAGUCAUAGCCUGUUUGGGCCUCGGUCUCCCCCACCCGUGGAAGGCCAGGGCUCCCGCAAGUCCUGAAGGCGCCCGCCUCUGGUCUGCUCCCGCACCCCCUCCCUGCUCCACCUCCCGGCAGGGUUCCUGCCGUCCACUCUCCGUCAGCAGCCAGGGGGCUUCCACACAUGCAGGUGGUGAUGCCCGCGCCCACUUAACAGCCCGGUGCCCUUCUCAGGCCCCGCAGGCAGAGGCCACCCUCCUGGGCCACACCCAGGACCUACACGGUUCGCUCUGCCUCUUGCUAAGCCCGAGAUCCCAGGAGUCUGGGCCUGAGCGGCUUGGGUGGGUGAAGGCGGGUUGAUGGACGUCCCGAGGCCCCCGACAGUUGGAACCAGAACCCCGGCCAGGGGUGGUGGACACGCAGGGAGGAGGAAGCUGCACCGCGGGUGCCCAAGGAUGGACCUCGGGGGUGGGGGUGGGGCCGGGCCCCUACCUUCCGUCCGGCCUGGCUUCGCCCUGGCUCAGAAGCCUGGCCUGACUCCAAGGCAGGUGGCCCCUCUGUCCCCCACUGGCGCCCGGUCUCCCGAGCAGCGCACACUACCCCCGCCCUGAGAGUGAGAGCCAGCGACCGGCUCUGAGCUGAGGAUGGGGUCCAGCCCCGGCCUCCUGCGGCCCGUGCACCUUGAAGCUGGCAGCGCUGGGCGAGAAGAAGGUGACUCGGAGGUGGCCCUGAGACGCGGCUGGCCGGACAGUCAUCUUCCAGGCUGUGGGGUGGAGCGUUGAGGCCCAGCAGCCCCCGCCCGCCCCCCGCCACUUCCACUCCCCUCCUCACUGACCCGGCACCCUGGCAUCCUGCCUGCCUGGCCACGAGGCAUCUCUCGGAGCGCAGAAAAGGGCGUUAUUUGCUGCAACCUCACAGCAAAAGGCGCAGGCCCCCUCCCUGCCCUGCGGCCCCAUGGAGAGCUCACCUGGCAAGCCUAGUCGUUCGAAAGGGCACCUCACCCAGAAGCCCCGGCUGGUGGAGAACUGCAGAGAGGACGUGAGGGGUGAGCUGUGGCAGGUGGGGGGUGGCCGGGGGCUCGGGCAGGCUGGGGCUCCUUCCCGCAGAACCAUUCAGCUGCACCCGCUGUCAGACCAGGGUUGGGGGCAGAGGGGGUCACUGGGAGGCUGGGCCCCAGGGCCGGGCAAGGUCUGGAGUGAGUGUGGCUGCACGUCCCCGCCCCCACGCCCCGGAUGCCUCUGCCGACCCCUCUGCCGGUCUCCCUGCUGCCUCUCCCUAAGCCCCAGGCUGGCGCCGGCCCACUCACCUUCAGGCAGAGCUGGGGCUGUGUGUCCACCAGCGGGUACUGCACCUGUGGGGGGGCUCGGGUCAGGCCCCGGCCGUCCGUGCCCACCCCCACCCCGCCCGGUGGCCACUCACCCUGCC